rnacentral:lncRNA from 1 species
UUNUUUUUUUUUUGCUUUUUAGUGCCACACCUGCGGCAUAUGGUUGUUCCUAGGCUAGAGGCCACAGCAAUGCAGGAUCUGAAUUCACUGCACUACUGGAUCCUUAACCCACUGAGUGAGGCCAGGGAUUGGACCUGCAUCCUUCCUCAUGGAUCUCAGUUAGAAUUGUUAACUACUGAGCCACAAAGGGAACUCCAGACAUUAAAGUCUUAAUGGUAGACUCACAUUGACAUGAAUGAAGACUGUCUAUGUCAAUGAAGACAUCAUAUAAAAUCUAUAACAAUUACUUGAGUUUUUCACAAAGUAGUUACUAGAAUAACUUCUUUUUUUUUUUUUUUUUUUUUUUUUUUUAGGGCCUCACCAGCAGCAUAUGGAGGUUCCCAGGCUAGGGAGGCCCAAGAAAUAGCAAAAAAAGACCAAAAAAAAAAAAAAAAAUGAAAAAUAUGGGAAAUUGUAAACAUGCUUUAUUUUAGAAACUGUAUUCUCAGGGCAAGGUGUAUAGUAUUUUCUCAGUGAACAGAUGAACAUUCCAAUAUUUCCUGAUUUACCACAUUAACCCUGACACAUACUUAUUUAGGUCCCUCUUCCAAAUUCUAGUUCUUACAUUCCUUCCUUUUCUUUUCAAAUGGAGUAGAGUGUUUAAUCUCAUAUUUUUCUCUUACCAACAUCAAGAGAAAAAACCUUUUACAUGAAAAAUAGAAAAACUUUAAAGCAGAGAGAAAUAAGAUGACCAAUGUCCCACUGUUAUAACAGCCUAUAAUCAGGGAAAAUGUUUCCUCCUUGCUAGGUAAACACACAUGUAUAGAAAUUUGAAUGUUGCAUGAGGUGUUUAUAUUUUUAACAUUUAUACAACAAUCUCAGAAUCAAUCUAGGCUUCAUGAAAGUUGAAAAAAUUCUAUUGGCCUGAAAUUUUCAAUAAUUCUAAUUUUUUAAAAACCUCAGAUAGUUUCAGUUUUCCCUCCUGUGACUUUUUAAACACUUAUUUAAAUAGUGUGUGUCGACAUAUUGUUAAAUAAAAUGCAUUUUGUGACCUAUCAGAGAAAAUUGCCCUGAUAUUAUUUUGGAAAGCAUCUUAUACAAAUCCUUAUCACUGCUCCAAAGGAUUCUACCAUUAUGGCAGCAUGAUAGAUUGUAAGGUCCAGAAUUUUGAGUGAGGCAUGAAUAGGUAUUCCAUUAAAAAAAGUUUGUGGUCAAGUUGAUUUGGAAAACACAAAGUUAGAGACAUUUCUUUAUUACACAAUUUUAUAGAAUAUUUAAAAAUUAGAAAGUGCAAGAGUUCCCAUGUGGCUCAGCAGUAACAAACUCCACAAGUAUCCCCAAGGAUGUGGGUUCAAUCCCUGGCCAGUGCAUGAAAAAGCUCCAAGAGGAAGAUUUAUUGUGUGGUGAUCCUAAACUUAUUUUGUCGCAAAAUUAUUUUACCACAAAAAUCCUCAUAAACUUAUUCUUAUUGUUCAAUGAUUAGAUUUGAAGUUUAAUUUCACAUAUAUCUAGAUGAUUUGGAAAGUGUUAAUUCAAUAAUUUUAAACUAAUAACAGUAUAUAUUGUUCAGUUAGAUUAAGAUUUCAAGAGUUGAGCAAUGUGAUAAAAAAUGCUUUUUUCUCUUUUUCACAAGCAAAUUCAUUUUGACAGUUACUCAUAUUAAUAGUAACAUACUUUUAACAUUCCAUGUGUAUAACAGAUAGUGUUUUUAUACUAUCAAAUAUUUCCCCACAAAUUUUAAAAUCCUUGUUUCCACUGAUCAUUUAAAGAUUUAAAAAUAUCUAGGGUCUUUACAUUUUGCUUUGUUUCACUAUGAGUUUUGCAUUUUAUAUUUUGAAGAUAACUCUGUCUUUAGGGUUGCCAGAUAAAAUAUAGGACUUGGUUUUGGUUUCUGGUUUUUGCUAAAAUUUGGCAACUCUACUUGUGCUACUCAGAAUCAAAGCAAACAUAUGGCACUAGUAUGCCAUCAAUAAAUGUUUCAAAAAUUCGUUAAAAAUACCUUCCUGGAAACAGAAACUCUUGUGUUUCAUUAGCUUUGCUACCAAAUAUAAUAUAUAAAGUAUGCAUCAUGCAAAGAAAAUUGUCAUUUUUUUAUGAAGCUCCUAUCAAGCAGCUUAUGAAAACAGAAUAAAAAUUACAUAAAGUGAAGAUCAACUGUCACUAAUUUAGUUCAAGACUCACACUUAUUUGGUAUUUUAAAUAUCUUUAUACCAUAAAAAAUGUUACUAAAAAUAUCCCUGUCUUACCUGUUUUUAUUAGAAUUUUUAAAAGGAGAAAGGUAAAUUAUGUCAUAAAAUGUUCUUCAUAAAUAAGUAAUUAAAACUGCAGGUACACCAAGAAACUAGAAACUAACCCAUUUGUAAGAAUGAACCUAAGGAACCCAUAAUGAUAUAAUGGGGCCCUUUUCUUUUUAAAAUAUAGCAAAUGCAUUUAAAAAUACUAAUGUUUACCUUCUGUUUGUUGAAUAGGGUCUUGCAUAAUUUUUUGAUAACAUUCAUAUUGAGCUGUCAUGAUUUUAUUUCUAGUAACAGUCAACUGAAUUAAGUCAUCAGGGUUUUCUUCUUCUGUUUCUGCUAUGACAAGAAUCUAGGAGAGUAAAAAAAAUAAAACUUCAGAAUUGUGAGAAUGUCUGUCAGAGGCAAUUUGUUAUGAUGGAAAAACAUGAUGUGCUGCAUGGGGCUCUGGAGGAAAAUCUCUGAUUUGUAGUAUUGCCAGUUUCCAUUGUAAAUAGCCCCCUCGUGUUCAAUGUCAAGCCACCAGUAAAAGUUGCCAUUAGCAAUACUGGGAGGCACAGUCCACGCUCUCUUCAGAAGCCUGUGGGAGUCAUCUCCUGGCCACGUAUUCUGGAAUGCAGACAGCUGUAUUCAAAAUCCACCUCUACUUUUUUACCCACUAUGGGAAUGUGGGUAAAAUAUUUAAUCCCCUAAGCCUCUGCUUUCUUAUUUUCAAGCAGGAUAGAAUAGCAUCAAGAUAAGCAGGGAAAGUAUCUGGCACAUGAUAAACACUCAAAAUUGUUGCCAUUUUUAUAAUUAUAUUUUGAUAAUCCAAAUGACAAGUUCAUUUAUGAUGCUGGUAAAUAGAACUUUUAUUAUAUGCACAGCGAUAAAAGGUUUUAGACAAGGUAUAUAUUUAUAUACUUCUACUUUAGUAGCACUAUUUCUAGCUUCACUUACUCUUUAAUUUCUACAUGACUUUUUUUUUGUACCAUGAAGCCUGUAAAAACUUGUCUUCAACCUUAUUUCUUCUUUUCUUUUGCAUUAAUUCUAUUAUUUUCCAUGAGCAGUUAUAUUUCUACUCUUUGUCCCCUUAUUCUUGAUUUUCUGUUCUCUAGCAGGAAGUUGAAUUUAACUUAAAUUUAAAUAGUAAUAUUCCCUUAGUGUGUUUCAACAUCAUCUGACCGCCAUUGAACAUGAACUCUUUCAUUCUUUGAUUGGUUUUGAUUUCUUAAUAAAGAUUUAUGCAACUCUUGUGCUGCACGAGAAAUAAGCAGUUUUCAUCAAGAAGAGAUGCUUUUCUCCUGUUCUCAGAAAGUUUAUAGAAUUGCAUAAAAAUCAAUAUCAUUUUUAUUUUUACUUAAAACCCACUGCACCUUGUCUGAAUGAAUUCAAGAAAAAAGGUCAUAGUUCCUUAAAUUACAAUAAUCAGAUUGGUAAUCUGUUACAGAAUUACCUGCAGGGAAUCAGCUUUGGCCUGUGCAACUCAUUGGCAUGCUCAAGGGAGGGUGGAAGCUAAAGAAACAGGAAUCCUAUCUUGCAUUCUAGUCUGUUUACCUAAGAUAACAUCUAGGAGUGCAGAAUUUGGACUGUUCCUAGACUUGGGAAUGUUUUUAAAUCCAAAUGCUGACAGGAAUGUGGUUGUGUUUUUCUCCUGUUUAAGUUUUCUAUAUUUUUCUUGAGUUUCUUUGUCUGAAUCUUUGUGGGGUUUACUUGGAAACACCACAGGAAAAUUAUUUGCUCUCACAGAAUUAGAUGAGAUUAUGUCUCUCAGUUUCUCAUUCAUAUAUUGAGCUAAGAGUAAAGUCACUGCUUUAAUGUAAGAAAAAUAAGAACAAAAUAUUUCUGUAAAUAAAAAUAAAAUUAAAUGUAUAAGGCACAUAACCCCUCCAGUAUAGCAACUGAUUUUUAGUCAUUCUUAGUCUACCUUCUACCUCCAGCCCACAUCCCCUGAAUAUUUGUGCAGAGGCACACAGGAGUGCACACACUCACCUACACAUCUGCCACAAAUUUAGCAUCCAUGCUUGAAGAAAAAUGGACUCAAUAUUCUUUUUGGAAUGAAUGGAUGAGGAAAGUAAUUUUAAACAUAGUGCAUGGGUACAAAUUGCUUUCAGUCAUAUAAAUCAAUCAGUUGGCAGAAUAAGGGGAAACUCAACAGGUUGAAAUUGUUAUUUUAAUAGAUCUAAUUCAGAAUCAACAGAUCUGGUUGAAAAUAUUUCAUCUACUAUGUACGACUCCCCAAAGAGUCACUUCAUUUUUUUUCUAAACUCUGGCAAUUACUUUCCUCCAGUGUUUGCACUUUUGUAUCCAUAGUCCUUCCUUACUUGACAACCCCCCCGCCACUGCACCACCACAUUAUAGGGCCUAUUGUAGGAUUCAAAGCCUAAAAGUGUACACUAGGAAGGAAAUAAUUAUUGCUAAGUUGAUUAGAUAUAUAAUAUAUUUAAUUUAUGCAUCAAAUAAUCACAUGUUAUUUUGUGUGAUUAACUUUUUAUCAAUUAUGGGUAUAUUGGAAGUUAAAAUGUAAGUAAUCUUAGAUAGGAAGAUAUAUGAGAAUUUAUGCUUACCAUAAAAAAAGGUAAGAGAAACAGAAAAUACAGGAUAUACUUUUUCUCCAUCAUUAAAGCCGAAAUGAACUAUGUGAUGUAAUAUAAAUCAAACUGCAAUAGAAAAUAAAAGAAAUAUAAUUUAUCAACAUUUAUGAAAUAUACAUGGCUCUCAGUGGAAAAUAUCUUUUAAAACCACACAAUAGUUUUGCUUCAAGGAUUCAAUUAAGAGUCUUACAUAUUACAAAUGUUAAGAGCAUUAUGGCUUAAAGUAGUAAAGAGCUUAAUUAAAUACAUUUUAAUUUAAUUAGUUUACAAACAGGAAAGCCUAUUAUAGAUAUAUUUUUAAGUAACUAGAAACAUCUUACAUUUUACCAAAAUUGGUAUUAAAUGGCUAAAGUAUCAAAAUUAAGUUUCACAAGAACAAAGAAAUACAAGUUUUGAUAGCAUAUUUUACUAUAAAACUUACCUUUACUUCCUAAAAUAUUAAUCUCAUUUUAAACUUUAUAACUCUUCAACAAUUUAAGGGAGAAAACUGUAUUUAGGCCAAUUUCUUGAGAAAGAAAAUCUAUGUGUCAUUAAAAAUGGCCUUAUAAAUUAAUUUUUCUUCACUGCGGCAUUUAAUUUUUUUAAUCAAGAAAUAAAAGAUUCCCUAAGUCUUUAAUUAUUUACUUAUUAUUAAAGUAAGAUUACAGAAGAUGGAGAAUACCAAAUAAAAGUAUUUCUAUUAAGUAUCAAUUCCCUGUUGACUUAAUUCUAAGAGUUAAACAUUGUGGGGGUAAAUUAUGCAAUGCUUACUCCCUAUAAGGUCCAUGAGCAACCUACUCUGGUAUGACUUUUAUGAAAUAUAAGUUACCAUGAUAUAGUCAUAAAAUGUAAUUUUUAUUUAACUGAAUGUAUAGAAAAUGUUUUUCAAGGGAGAUUAAAAAAAUUUUAACCAAUAGAUACUUGCCAGUGAAUUAUGAACUUAGGUUUAAUCUUAUUAGGAAGUGUGUCACGAUUUUUAUUAUAGGGUGAAUGUUAGAGUAAAAAUUAUUAAAAUGUUUUCUAUGUUUUACUUAUUUUUAUUAUCAUAUUCAAGAACACCAUUGAGUAGCAAUGAGAGCCGUUGCUUGUCCUCAUCAAUGACUUACCUAGAAAAAGCUUUUCUUUUUAAAUGUAGCAAUCUUCCAAAUAGUAUUUUCUCUUCUAACAGGUAUUUUGAGCUUUUAUUUUUAGUUGAUCUUAAGGAAAAUACAACCAAAAAAUAUGAAAAAUUGCAUUAAUUUUAGAUACAAAAAUCAUCUAACAGAAGAAAAAUAAUUAAUCAGUGUUUUGCUGUUCAGUAAUUAAUGAGUUGAUAUUUUAGUUUUUAUUACAUUGUACCAUGAGAAGAAUCUAAUUUUCCAAUACUUACAUGCACAAUUGUCUCCAGACUCAAAUCACAUUUUCUCUUGGAUCAGAAUCAACAUUGUCUCGAAGAAUUUCUUAAAUACAAAGGUCAAGACCUGAAAUAUUGAUUGAUAUAAUUUAAUACUAUUUAAAUGAGCCAAAAUCAUUUCAAAUUUUCAAAGACUAUAUCACUAUUAAAAUGAUACUUUUAUUAAUAUAUUCUAAUUUUUAAGUUAUUUUGCUUAUAUUUGUUUUGUCACAUAUAUUUGUUAUUUUCUAUUAUAUGGAGAAACAUCAAUUUUCAUUUAUCCAGAAUGGUAUUGAGCAAUUAAGUGAAUAUUUUACUUAUGUAAAUUUCAAAGAACUAGAAUAUAAUAAAAACUCUUUUCAAUUAAACUAUAAACUUCCUUUGAAUUAUUUUAUUUAGUAUUUAUUGGAAUAUUUUAUCAGUCUUAGUUACUUAUAUCUAUUUUCCUAGCUGGCGUGGUUUCUCAAAACCAGAAACUAUAUAUAAUUGAUCUUUGUAUGCUUCAUGUCAUUUAGUUAAUUUACAUUUGCUGUAUAAAUUAAUGAAUAAAUGAAUAAAAAAUGAAAUAAUAAAGUACUUAAGGAUUUUAAGCUAACAACAAGGAACACUAAUCAUAACUAUUCAUUAACUAUAAUUUCUUCUGUUAGAAGAUAUUAGAUAGUGUGUGAAUCUAUACUGACAUUGGAAAUUGAGAAAAAAGUUCUUAUAUCAGCAUGUUUAUCUUAAUACCAAAUAAGAUCCUUUACUCAGUUUUUGAGUUCUGUAGUUUGAAUAUUGAAUAAAUAGUAGUUUACUGUCUUUGGAAGUCAUAUAGCUUAAGCCAAUUUUAAAACAUUCAUAGCUCACAUUUUUAUAUAUUAAAUAUAUAUAAGACAGAAAUACACAAAUGAGAAUGUAAGGAAAUAUUAUUUUACUAGGAAAUCAAGUUUUUAUUAAACAAUGCUUUGAUAUUUUACAUGAGUCAUGAUUAAAUUACCUUCAGUGUGUACAUGGCCUCAAAAAUUGAAGAGGAAAGUACCUCAAAAACUUGUCAGAAUUUUCCUAUAUCCAACAUAUUUGAAAAAUAUUUCACUCAACACUACAGGUUAUUUUUGUCAUUUAUCUAAUGGGUUUCAAAGUCAGAGUUCCAAAACGUAUCUUAGGGAAAUAUAUCUUAGUGUUCAAUUGAUCAUUCUGGUACCAAUAAUUUAAGAAGACUUUAUUCAACUCAAGAAAUAUUUAUCAAUGCAAGUAAUUUCACGUUUAUAGCUUUCUUUUUUUCACCCUAUUCCCUAGUGAUCUGGAAAAUGUGCUACCAGGAACAAGAUUGUAUUUUGCACUGUGCAAAUUCAAAGCACUCCUAACUAAGGGGGCAGGUUUAUGACCCCCGGUUUUAUCAAGGAUACAACAGCAAGUUUGGGUGGCAGUCUUUCAAAAACAUGGUGGAUAACUGUAUUCUUCACUAGGUCUGGCAGUAUUCAUUUUAUGUGGUGAUCCAUUUCACUUGAGGAAAUCUACUCUGCAAAGGACUUAGCAAAUUUCCCUGCCAGCAGACACAUGUGGUGAGUGGUGGUUAUAGAAAAAUUACUUCUUUCACCAAGAGUUCCGUAGGUCAAUAAUGAAUGGAUCAUGCCUGAGCAUAUAGAUAAUGCCAUUGCAGAUACAUCUGAAGGUCAUUUUAGAUUGAUUCUCAUGCUGGUAGGUUUAAUGACAUCAUUAUUAUCAGAGGUAUGUUUAAUUUUACUCCUUGGUUUAUCUCAUUGGUUCUUUGUUGCCUGGUCAAAUAUUGUAGUUCCCAUUCAAUUUUGAGGAGAGAUCAAGGACUUAAUUAGAGGAGGUCAAGUUAAAUGAGUCUGGCAGUGGAUUUUUCCAUGUGAGCUUAGGUUUGUUUAAUGUGAAAGACUUCUUCAAAAUUGAGAAAUUUCUCAUUUAAACUUUUAAGUAAAUCUGUAAUCACAAUGAUACUAGUGGUAGCUAUUCAUAUUUUCUCUUUCUCAUGGAUCCUAUAGAUGCUGUUUUAUAUUUUUACUCCUCAAAAUUAAACAAAGUGGCAGAUUUGGUUCUAGUACUAGAAACAAAAUAACUUUUUUUACUGUACACAUGAAAUAAAAAAUAGCUUAUUUCUAGAUAGUCUUUAGGCUUCUUGCCCAAAGAAUCAUCAAAAUAAAAUUUAAAUGAUUUAUUUUAUCACAAGAAGAACUUUGACUUAAAACCUCAAAUAACUUUUGAAAUAUAUCUUCCUAGUUACUCAAGGCUUUAUGUAGCAUCAUUCUCAGUCCAUCUUAACAUCUCAAUAGAUCUGCAACACAAGAUAUUUCUAAAUUUCUUUUUAUAGUUCUACAUUUCCAAAUCCACAAAUUUUAAUCAAUCUUCUUGGCUUAUUUCAGUGUAAAAACAUGUUUUAUUCUACAUAAACAUUAUAAAUCAGUGUGACUUAAGCAACACUAAUUUACCAGAACACAAAAACAUCCAGUGUCUUUCAAACCUACUUAUUUCUCAAAUUUUUGUUAUACCUAUAUACACUUUCCAAUUUUUUAAUAAUAAUUCUUAUUUUGUGGUGAGUUACCUAACCCUAAUAUUAAAAACGUAUGUUCACUACAAGAUUAAGAAAAAAACCCAUGGCGUUCCCAUCAUGGUUCAGCAGUAAUGAAGCUGACUAGUAUCUAUAAGAUAUGGGUUCAACCCC